UUAAGUGUCCAGUAGUUCUUCCAGUUUUCAGUUCUGUCCAAUUAUUUGUAUGUAAUAAAUUAGAACUUUCAUUAAUUAUAUUUAUAAUAUCUUCGCCACGGCGGCCAUUUUCAAUAGAGACUAAUCAACUGCGUAGGAGAUAUAGUGCAGAAGUGUGUGUGCAAACACUUUCUAAUUUCUCAGUCUCAUAGCAGUAGACGGCAAUCGGACAAGACUAAGCAGAAAGCACGUGGAGGACCCACGUCUUUCUGUGCUUUUUAAGUGAAGGAUAUAAUUCCUGUUAAAUCUCCAGGCUAUUCCUGGGAAUGCCUUGACGGACUUAAAGCCUUUGGUUUAGAGGUAUACUGCUUGUAAGCUAGCUACAGUUACGUGCACGAGUGUGAAGGAGACGCAUGUACGUAGCUCAUGUGUCAAGUGAGGAUGUAAAGAAUCUUUAUUCUAAAUUUCCAAAAAAGUAAUAAUUUAUCGCUUUGAGGCAGCGCCAUACAACUAGGUGUCUAAAGCAUGGCGAAUUGCAUAAUAGAGUUUUUGCUAUGACCCCAACUCAAUGGGAUAAAACAGUUUUCGCUGUCAUCAUUAUAAAGCUUGCCGUAUGUCAGAUUGUAUGAUCGAGCUUAUCUACGGUACUACCAGUUCGACUUGAGAAGAUCUCUUUGCGUUAAAUGAAUAUCAUGAUCUCUAAGAUGACACCGGGAUUGAUGAAGACUCCAUGGACAAGAGGCGUUGUAUUCAGAGGAUAAGAGACAAUAUUCUAAAGAUAUACGGAUGUAUCGCAUCGCUUCCAGUUUUUUGGCAAACACGCCUGCAGCUUUUGGUCACAUAAACAAAACCUCACUUCAAAAUGUCUAUUUACAAUAUAUUUUAUCGUACAGUAUUACAAGUGAGCUAGAACAUAAAAAACGGCAUUAGAAAAUCGACUUAGAUAUAACAGAAAAAUAAAUCAUCGUCCCACGCACGCGACCUAGCCCAACGGACACACGCAGAGUGAAAAGGACAAAAAAAGUCGGAGCAGGAAAAAAAGCAUCGGGCGCGAAUACACCCGAGGGGAAUGAACUGCGAAAAAUAAGACGAAAACGUUCGCCCGCGCACAUGUGCGUUCGGCCAUUUUUUUCUCGUCGUCCCGCUCUAGCGCCAAAAAUGGUCGCGUAUCGGGCGUGUGCGAGUGAGACGGGAGAAAAGAAAGCGCGAAAGAGUUGGUCGUUGUUGGUUCUGUGCGUUGCCGCGCGCGCUGCUGAGCUGGGAAACCUCUUCCUGUUUAGACGUAUUCCUUACCAUUUUGGUUCGUUCUCCAUUAUGCGCUUAUGUUAGUUAUUUGCUAGAUUAACGGAAUGCUUUAUUGCCGUAACAGUAUUUAAAUGAAUGUUCCCCUUAAUUAUUCUACUAUAUAAUGCUUUUUAAUAUACGUUAUACCGUGUCUAAUAUUUAUAUGUAAAUAAAAAUCAUUACAAUAUCACGUAUCCAUUUCGAAACUAGUUGUAUUAAAAUAAAUUAAAAACUAAUUAAAUAAUGCAGUUGUAAUGUCUUCCUACACAACGUGUUACUAGCUGAUUCUGUACCGAUGCAGGGAAAAUUAACCUAUAAUAGAUUGCAAAUAAGGGCUAGGUUUCAUUUAGGUAUUCUAAUGAAUCUGUCGGACGGUGAUUUAGCGUUCUCGAGGGACCUUUUUAAUUGAUGCCUUUUUCUCGGCAUGUUUAUAGCGUAGUUGUUAAGGUCUAGUUGUAUUUUACUAGUUUUUUUUUCUAAGAUUAAGAUACUGGCUGGAAAUAAAAAAAAUAUUAUCAUGACAGUGAUUUAUUAGGCAUAAAAGAUAGAAUAAUAUGGUUUUAAUGGGAUGUAGGAGGUGAUAAAAUGUUCCCUUAGCAGUCGCACUAAAACUAGGCAAGCACUAACAAUACAUUCGCGAAACUUAGAUUUUUGAAGGUAGAAAUUCGAAAAUAAAAUAAAAUAGGUAUUUGAAAAUUAAUCAUAAACAGCUGAUAAGCAUUUUAUAAAUAAUACUAACCACAAAUAUAACAGUUGAGAGAUGACGUCACAUUAUUUAUUUAAAUAUCGAAUUAAGCUUUUUAAUUUAUUUUUGAUAUAAAAACAAAUGAUUAUGUAAUUAAUAAAUGUUUAUUAUAUAGAUAUUAUAUAAUAUUCUCCUUAAGUUACUUUCUUAACUAACGUAGAUCAUCGGCGGCGGCAUUAAAUUGGCGUAAAUUUUUAAGAGCGCACUAAAACUCUCCUGCUACUUUACACUUCCUUAUUCAAAGACUAAUUGGCGUGUAUAAUUAUUGACUCUAAGUCUCUUUAUUAUUAAAAAAAAUUAACGGCCUUACUUAUAAACGUUGUUUGAUUAACGCUGUCUUCUGCUUUCGAAUUUCACUAAACAGCGGCUAAGCAAUGUUCAUAAUAUUAAGGCCGAUAAUGUUUUUAUUAAGAACAUUUUAAAAGUUUACAUUUUUAUUAUGUUAUAGGUAAGUGGUCAUAACCAACCCACAGAUAAUGGUCUACCAAGUUUGGGAACUUAGAUGUUAUGUCCCUUGUGCCUGUA